GGGCUUUGGAGAUGAAAGAGCAUCAGCAACUCCAUACAUGUCUAAAAGGGUGGAAACGCGUUCUUGCCAGCGUCGAAAAUUCUGUCCAGAGAAAAUUUCAAUUUUAGACACGUCCGGAAGUGAUUUUGCGAAGACCGUCUGGGUUCCAGGAACAAUGGUUGGAUUCUCCGAAAGCAUGUUGUUGGUUUGGUUCUCCGAAGGCAUGUUGUUGACGUCAGCCAUAAGUCCUUAAGAUUGUUGUAAAAAGCUGACAGAAUCACGAACAAAUUUUCCUGAGGCGUGUAGAGUCACUGUCCUUAAGGACUUAUCCGC
rnacentral:lncRNA from 1 species